rnacentral:rRNA from 1 species
AGUGAACGCUGGCGGUAGGCCUAACACAUGCAAGUCGAACGGCAGCACAGUAAGAGCUUGCUCUUACGGGUGGCGAGUGGCGGACGGGUGAGGAGUACAUCGGAAUCUACUUUUUCGUGGGGGAUAACGUAGGGAAACUUACGCUAAUACCGCAUACGACCUACGGGUGAAAGCAGGGGAUCUUCGGACCUUGCGCGAUUGAAUGAGCCGAUGUCGGAUUAGCUAGUUGGCGGGGUAAAGGCCCACCAAGGCGACGAUCCGUAGCUGGUCUGAGAGGAUGAUCAGCCGCACUGGAACUGAGACACGGUCCAGACUCCUACGGGAGGCAGCAGUGGGGAAUAUUGGACAAUGGGCGCAAGCCUGAUCCAGCCAUACCGCGUGGGUGAAGAAGGCCUUCGGGUUGUAAAGCCCUUUUGUUGGGAAAGAAAAGCAGCAGGUUAAUACCCCGCUGUUCUGACGGUACCCAAAGAAUAAGCACCGGCUAACUUCGUG